rnacentral:sRNA from 1 species
GACCACCCGCUUGCGGGGAAUGGCCAUACGGACAGCCGGGUCCACUGCCGA